CCUACGGGGUGCAGCAGUGAGGAAUAUUGGUCAAUGGACGAGAGUCUGAACCAGCCAAGUAGCGUGAAGGAUGACUGCCCUAUGGGUUGUAAACUUCUUUUAUAAAGGAAUAAAACGAGGCACGUGUGCCUUUUUGCAUGUACUUUAUGAAUAAGGAUCGGCUAACUCCGUGCCAGCAGCCGCGGUAAUACGGAGGAUCCGAGCGUUAUCCGGAUUUAUUGGGUUUAAAGGGAGCGUAGAUGGGUUGUUAAGUCAGUUGUGAAAGUUUGCGGCUCAACCGUAAAAUUGCAAUUGAUACUGGCAGUCGUGAGUACAGUUGAGGUAGGCGGAAUUCGUGGUGUAGCGGUGAAAUGCUUAGAUAUCACGACGAACCCCGAUUGCGAAGGCAGCUUACUAAACUGUGACUGACAUUGAUGCUCGAAAGUGUGGGUAUCAAACAGGAUUAGAUACCCCGGUAGUC
rnacentral:rRNA from 1 species